CGGCCGUUCCACCUAAACUCAGCCGCUUUCAAGGACAAGCCUCCCUGUCCGCCCUCCAACGCCACUCUCCGAACCACCAAACUCCACGAAGAAGCAAAUCUAUAGGUUAGAAAGAACUCCAGGACCAACCAACCCCCUCCAAGCCGUUCGUACGCACUGAGCCAUGCACCGAGAGCAGCCGAGCAGUUUUCUGGACCAGCUUUCCUUUAAUUGUUGCUUGCUGUAAA